rnacentral:lncRNA from 1 species
CUCCACCCCUGUCUCAGGAAGCACCAGUUAGCCAUGGGAUGAAUAAAAGGAUAUGUGAUAGAGCGAAAAAAUAUGGAAUAAUGAAAUACGGAAUAAUGCAAGAAGAUAAAUUAGCAGACUGUGCAUGCAAGAAGACAAGAAGCUGAUCUGUGUUGAGCUAUCACCACCUAGUGGCGUACAGUAACACCAAAGAAAUAACAGAGAAGCAUAUGCAUGUGUUUUAAACUUCUUUUUAGUCUGAGAUGGGGUAGAAACUGUUUUGGAAACUAAGUUCCAGGCGUGCAUUACUGUUGCCUGUCAACGAGUGAGACUCAAGACAAAUAAAUACAAUUGAGAGCUAUUACUUAAUGAUUAA